AUAUUUUAGUUAAGUCAAACCCGUCAUUUCCAUAUAGUCAUAUUCGAAUAAUAUUGCCCUUGUGGUUGCACAACAAGGCAAUAUAUUAAAAUAUGCCAUAAGCAUCUUAAUGCACCAAGACAGUAUAACAUCAGUCCCCAUUGCAAAUCUUGUGUUAGCACAACAAACUAGCAUGGAUCUUGACAUAAUAAUAUCGAGGCAUGAAGGAAGGCUAUCAAUAGUGUUAUAUAUCAAUAUUAAGCUUAUCCAUAAUAGGCAAUCAAACAAUUGGCCAGGUAAGCAGGUGGGAGGCUCCCCUUACUCAGAGAGUAAGGUCCUAAUUAAGUAACCACCUUUAGUGCUUUCUGUUGCUGGUGGUCCAAACCGAGAACGAUUGGCACAGCGGUGUGAACGGGGUUCCGUUUGAGUUGCCUUGGUUGGUGUUGAUUGCGCUUCACCUUCCACCGGGAAACCUGCAAGCAAGCCUCGCACCACCACUGGAGUAGUGGGGGCCCUCCGACGAUCAAGUCAGAGGAGAUUGAAGGAGAAGGAGAG
rnacentral:lncRNA from 1 species